AUUUUCACUUUGCUUGAAAAGAUUGCUGAGAUUACUAAUCAAGAUCUCAUUAAGUCCCUCCAGGCCCUCCAGCCAGAACUUGCCUCCAUCCACCGGACUUUUAUACAACAACACCCUGCUCCUGACCCUCCGGCUUCCGGACUCUGCCAACAAGCUGUGGAACCAGGAAGC